rnacentral:rRNA from 1 species
UGCAGUCGAACGAACUCUUCGGAGUUAGUGGCGGACGGGUGAGUAACACGUGGGAACGUGCCUUUAGGUUCGGAAUAACUCAGGGAAACUUGUGCUAAUACCGAAUGUGCCCUUCGGGGGAAAGAUUUAUCGCCUUUAGAGCGGCCCGCGUCUGAUUAGCUAGUUGGUGAGGUAAUGGCUCACCAAGGCGACGAUCAGUAGCUGGUCUGAGAGGAUGACCAGCCACAUUGGGACUGAGACACGGCCCAAACUCCUACGGGAGGCAGCAGUGGGGAAUCUUGCGCAAUGGGCGAAAGCCUGACGCAGCCAUGCCGCGUGAAUGAUGAAGGUCUUAGGAUUGUAAAAUUCUUUCACCGGGGACGAUAAUGACGGUACCCGGAGAAGAAGCCCCGGCUAACUUCGUGCCAGCAGCCGCGGUAGUACGAAGGGGGCUAGCGUUGCUCGGAAUUACUGGGCGUAAAGGGCGCGUAGGCGGACAUUUAAGUCAGGGGUGAAAUCCCAGAGCUCAACUCUGGAACUGCCUUUGAUACUGGGUGUCUUGAGUGUGAGAGAGGUAUGUGGAACUCCGAGUGUAGAGGUGAAAUUCGUAGAUAUUCGGAAGAACACCAGUGGCGAAGGCGACAUACUGGCUCAUUACUGACGCUGAGGCGCGAAAGCGUGGGGAGCAAACAGGAUUAGAUACCCUGGUAGUCCACGCCGUAAACGAUGAUUGCUAGUUGUC